rnacentral:rRNA from 1 species
GUGACCCCAAGUCAGGUG